AUAACUCUGCAUGAGCCCAAGGCUCCACAUGACCCAUAACCGUGUGAGCACCGUAAGCCCAUAUGAGGCUGAGGGCAGUGAUGGGUCUGUUACUGGCUAGGUCAGGAAAGCCAUCCUAGAGCAGCGCCAUCACUGCCCACGGCCCAUGGCCAGCAGCAGUUCCACCACAAGCUGUGUGUUGGGUCAAGGCAGCUCCUAGGUGUUGCUCUGCUUCAUAGCUGCCCCAAAGUGCCCCUGUAGCCCUCCCAUAGGUGUCCUUUAACUGCCCCACCACCCCGUAAGGCUUCCCCACGUCCUAGCACAUCCCCCCACGUGCGUGCAGGGUGUGCAAGAAACGCUCUCAUCCCUGAUAUUCCAUCAGGCACAGCUCUUCGUGCAGCAGCAAAGCUCCUUCCUGAUUGCUGUGGCGUUACUUCACUCUCCUCAGUGAGUUCCUUCUGCUCCCGUUGGGUUGGUUGAGUUGGGUUUGUUGGGAUGAGGUGGGGGCAGGGAUCCCAGAGUUCUGGGGCCACAUGGCAUCGGGUCGCAGCGUGUUGGGGGCAGGAAGGGUCAGGGAGUCACAGGGUCUUGUGGGGGUGUGGUUCACCCAGGGCUGUGGGUCACGUAUAGCCAUGGGGUCAUGCACAUACAGGGUGAUGAGAUCAUCUUGGCUUAAGGCUCAUGUGGGGUUACGGCUCAGGGCCCCACCUUUGGGCUGCAUGGACCCCCAGUCCCCUCUCAGGAAGAAAUGAAACCCCUCCUACACCGCUGCCCCCUUCCCCCCUUUUUUUUUUUUACCUCAAACUGCUCCCCACAUCCUCCCAUAGCACCCCAUACUCCCGCGUCCCUCUUGCAGCCCACAUCUUGUCUUCUCCUGAACAGCAUUCUGCUCCUGCAGGCUGUGUUGUCAUAUCCAUUCUAUAUCCCCCACAACCUCUCCCACAGACCCACAUAGCUCCUCAAGUACUUUCUCUGACCGGGUACACCUCCCCCACCGCCAACCUGGGACCUCGCAGAGCCCCACAGUCCCCAGCAGCACCCCACGUCCCCCACGGUUCUUCAAGGAUCCCUCCGAUUUGAGGGAGGCUCAGACCUCCCUUUAUGCCUCAGACCCCUCCUGUGUUCUCCGACUCCCACAGUCCCUGACAGGACCCCCAUCACCAUCCCAGGACCCCCAUAGCCCACUGAUGAGGAACCUCGCAGCAAUCCACAUCUCAGGAUGGGCCUCCAGCUGUGCCCCAAUGCCUGCAUUAAAGAGAGGAGAAUGAAUGAGC
ensembl:lncRNA